rnacentral:rRNA from 1 species
AAAUUGAAGAGUUUGAUCAUGGCUCAGAUUGAACGCUGGCGGCAGGCCUAACACAUGCAAGUCGAACGGUAACAGGAAUCAGCUUGCUGAUUCGCUGACGAGUGGCGGACGGGUGAGUAAUGUCUGGGAAACUGCCUGAUGGAGGGGGAUAACUACUGGAAACGGUAGCUAAUACCGCAUAAUGUCGCAAGACCAAAAAGGGGGACCUUCGGGCCUCUUGCCAUCAGAUGUGCCCAGAUGGGAUUAGCUUGUUGGUGGGGUAACGGCUCACCAAGGCGACGAUCCCUAGCUGGUCUGAGAGGAUGACCAGCCACACUGGAACUGAG